GCUCAGAGUAUAAGCCAAUGGAGCUUGGAAGGCUUCCGCAGAUGGUGUCCAUCAUACGUGGUGUUCUUAAGACCUUGAGUGUGGCUCGUGAAGCGAAGCAUUGAGUUUGCCGACCAGCUGUCGUGCGGGGGGUUCAGCUUGGAAGGGUUGGGUUUCGGUCCAACAGUUUUCCUUCUGUCCCCUUUUGAAUGGACGUUCAGAGCUCUUGGUCUAAUGCGGUUAUGCCCACCACAGCACGUUGUGAGGUCACCCACAGGCUCAACUGCCGAUCGCGCAUCCAGGACGAUGGCAACGAUGCGUUGUCGAUGAUGGCUCGAGAGAGACUUCACUCACACGCGUGUCUAGUCCUGGGUCGGGCGGCGACCGAGAUAAACCUGGUACGAUCCUCUUGCGACGAGCUGCUUUCUGGCCAGACCGACGCCCAGACUCCUCCACUGUGCCGGAAGAGUCAACCCCAGGCGGUGUGAACCCAGCUGCAUUAUGCAAGGUCUCUCAGCCGGGCGUUGGUCUGAGUGGUGUUAAGUCCAGCACCAUCGGUCACGUCUCGAAACACGGGCCAAGGAGUAUAGCAUGUGUGCAAGUCUAAGGGUCUCACAAAACCCGAAGGCGAAGUGAAAGCAAGACUGUGGCGGGGGAGCUACGGCAAACCCGCCGGCCUAGUGGCGCGUGCGUCGCCUGGCUUUUAGCAGAGCUGAUCCUGUUUUCUCGGUUAAUUCUUGGUGCAGGCGCAAGCUCCGGGCUCACGUACAACACUGGUCACGCCUCGCG
rnacentral:rRNA from 1 species